GAUGAAGAACGUAGUGAAAUGCGAUAAGUAAUGUGAAUUGCAGAGUUUUGUGAAUCAUCGAAUUUUUGAACGCACAUUGCGCCCCUCGGUAUUCCGACGGGCAUGCCUGUCCGAGCGUCGUUUGCAACCCAUCGAGUCACAUCUCGGUCUUGGGCGCCGCCUCCCCCCGCGGGGGACGGGCCCCGAAGCCAUCGGCGGCCCUGGGUGCCCGCCGGAGCGUCUUCGAAAGCAACCGCUCCGCGCGCCGCGCGCCCCGGGACUGCCGGGAAAACCCCCGACGAUCGUUUGACCUCGGAUCAGGCAGGGCUACCCGCUGAACUUAAGCAUAUCAAUAAGCGGAGGA
rnacentral:misc_RNA from 1 species